rnacentral:tRNA from 1 species
UCCCUGGUGGUCCAGUGGCUAAGACUCUGUACUUUCAAUGCAGGGUCCGUGGGUUCCAUCCCUGGUUGGGGAA